GACGAACGCUGGCGGCGUGCUUAACACAUGCAAGUCGAACGGUAAGGCCCUUCGGGGUACACGAGUGGCGAACGGGUGAGUAGCACGUGGGUGAUCUGCCCUGCACUUCGGGAUAAGCCUGGGAAACUGGGUCUAAUACCGGAUAGGACCACUGCCUGCAUGGGUGGUGGUGGAAAGCUUUGGCGGUGUGGGAUGGGCCCGCGGCCUAUCAGCUUGUUGGUGGGGUGAUGGCCUACCAAGGCGACGACGGGUAGCCGGCCUGGGAGGGUGACCGGCCACACUGGGACUGAGAUACGGCCCAGACUCCUACGGGAGGCAGCAGUGGGGAAUAUUGCACAAUGGGCGCAAGCCUGAUGCAGCGACGCCGCGUGAGGGAUGACGGCCUUCGGGUUGUAAACCUCUUUCAGCACCGACGAAGCGCAAGUGACGGUAGGUGCAGAAGAAGGACCGGCCAACUACGUGCCAGCAGCCGCAGUAA
rnacentral:rRNA from 1 species